rfam:Schistosoma margrebowiei strain Zambia genome assembly, scaffold: SMRZ_contig0006043
GGCCUUCUUAAUCCGUACCGAGAUUUCGUCGGACACCAAACUAUCAGCACUAAUGAGACUUUCAAGAUAAGUGAAGCA